ACCUGAAGGACUUAUCAGGCAUGUAGUCGACUGCACUUAUGCAUACGACUUGAAAAAAAAAUACCAAGCUACACCACAUUUUAUGACUCAUAGAAGGUACCUUCCAUCCACUGGAGGCACUGGGAAAAUAAGUGAUUUAUUCAGGGUCAUACAGGAAAUCUGUGUCAGAAUCAGUCAUAGAAGCCUGGACUCUUGAUCCUGACCUCACUGUAAAGUACUGAUCCUGCCAACACGCAUCCUUGGGAGUCCAAUUAAAUUCAACAGAACUACUCAAGUGUCUUACAGAAACUAGCUCUUGGAGUUGAAAGUAUAAAAGAAGAAAAAUAAUGGCUGAAAACAACCACCACCACAGCCCAAUGGCACUUUUUCUCUUCGCUCACCCACAUAGGGUUAGGCGUUGUGGUGCUUCAGUAUAGAAUCUAGUGAGAUGAGUGAUAGUGCUCUGCAGGACAAAUGAUUGCUGACUAAAGAAAGGAAGAGUUACAGAAGGAAGAAAAAUAAAAAUGUUGCAGGACUGACAACUGUUGCUUUUCCCCACCCCCACGAAAAUAAACUAAAUUAAACUUCAAUCAGACUUCAGUUCCACACCCUGAAUUAAGCAAGCUGCUAGAGCAAUAGUGCUCAUUUGAGUAGUUACUAUUAGAGAGUUUACACUUCCUGUUCCAACCCCAUCUU